rnacentral:rRNA from 1 species
CCUACGGGUGGCAGCAGUGGGGGAUAUUGGACAAUGGGGGCAACCCUGAUCCAGCGACGCCGCGUGAGUGAAGAAGUAUUUCGGUAUGUAAAGCUCUAUCAGCAGGGAAGAAAGAAAUGACGGUACCUGAGUAAGAAGCUCCGGCUAACUACGGGCCAGCAGCCGCCAUACUCCGUGGGGUGCAAGGGUUCUCCGGAGUUACUGGGGGGAAAGGGAGCGUAGACGGUAAUGCAAGUCUGGAGUGAAAGGCGGGGGCCCACCCCCGGGACUGCUCUGGACACUGUGUAACUGGAGUGCCGGAGAGGCAGGCGGAAUUCCUAGUGUAGCGGUGAAAUGCGUAGAUAUUAGGAGGAACACCAGUGGCGAAGGCGGCCUGCUGGACUGUAACUGACGUUGAGGCUCGAAAGCGUGGGGAGCAAACAGGAUUAGAUACCCCAGUAGUC